rnacentral:rRNA from 1 species
GUCGGACAAGUCACUUGUGAAAUCUGAAAGCUUAACUUUCAGCGGCCAAGUGAAACUGUUUGACUGGAGUGCGGAAGGGGCCAUCGGAAUUCUCGGUGUAGCGGUGAAAUGCGUAGAUAUCGAGAGGAACACCUGCGGCGAAGGCGGGUGGCUGGGCCGACACUGACGCUGAGGCGCGAAAGCUAGGGGAGCGAACGGGAUUAGAUACCCCGGUAGUCCUAGCCCUAAACGAUGGAUGCUUGGUGUCUGGGGUUUAGAAGUCCCCGGGUGCCGGCGCUAACGCAUUAAGCAUCCCGCCUGGGGAGUACGGUCGCAAGACUGAAACUCAAAGGAAUUGACGGGGGCCCGCACAAGCAGCGGAGCAUGUGGUUUAAUUCGAUGCAACGCGAAGAACCUUACCAGGGCUUGACAUGUCGCGAAUCUCAGGGAAACUUGAGAGUGCCUUCGGGAGCCGGAACACAGGUGGUGCAUGGCUGUCGUCAGCUCGUGUCGUGAGAUGUUGGGUUAAGUCCCGCAACGAGCGCAACCCUCGUUUUUAGUUGCCAGCAUUAAGUUGGGCACUCUAGAGAGACUGCCGGUGACAAACCGGAGGAAGGUGGGGAUGACGUCAAGUCAGCAUGCCCCUUACGUCCUGGGCUACACACGUACUACAAUGCUACGGACAAAGGGCAGCAAGUUAGCGAUGACAAGCAAAUCCCAUAAACCGUGGCUCAGUUCAGAUUGCAGGCUGCAACUCGCCUGCAUGAAGUUGGAAUCGCUAGUAAUCGCAGGUCAGCACU